GCAUAUCAAUAAGCGGAGGAAAAGAAACCAACAGGGAUUGCCCUAGUAACGGCGAGUGAAGCGGCAACAGCUCAAAUUUGAAAUCUGGCUCUCGGGCCCGAGUUGUAAUUUGUAGAGGAUGCUUUUGAUGCGGUGCCUUCCGAGUUCCCUGGAACGGGACGCCAUAGAGGGUGAGAGCCCCGUCUGGUUGGAUGCCAAAUCUCUGUAAAGCUCCUUCGACGAGUCGAGUAGUUUGGGAAUGCUGCUCUAAAUGGGAGGUAUAUGUCUUCUAAAGCUAAAUACCGGCCAGAGACCGAUAGCGCACAAGUAGAGUGAUCGAAAGAUGAAAAGCACUUUGAAAAGAGAGUUAAAAAGUACGUGAAAUUGUUGAAAGGGAAGCGUUUAUGACCAGACUUGGGCUUGGAUAAUCAUCUGGGGUUCUCUCCAGUGCACUUUUCCAGUCCAGGCCAGCAUCAGUUUUCGCCGGGGGAUAAAGGCUUCGGGAAUGUGGCUCUCUCCGGGGAGUGUUAUAGCCCGUUGCGUAAUACCCUGGCGGGGACUGAGGUUCGCGCAUCUGCAAGGAUGCUGGCGUAAUGGUCAUCAACGACCCGUCUUGAAACACGGACCAAGGAGUCGUCUUCGUAUGCGAGUGUUCGGGUGUCAAACCCCUACGCGUAAUGAAAGUGAACGCAGGUGAGAGCUUCGGCGCAUCAUCGACCGAUCCUGAUGUUCUCGGAUGGAUUUGAGUAAGAGCAUACGGGGCCGGACCCGAAAGAAGGUGAACUAUGCCUGUGUAGGGUGAAGCCAGAGGAAACUCUGGUGGAGGCUCGCAGCGGUUCUGACGUGCAAAUCGAUCGUCAAACAUGGGCAUGGGGGCGAAAGACUAAUCGAACCUUCUAGUAGCUGGUUUCCGCCGAU
rnacentral:rRNA from 1 species